GAUGAAGAACGCAGCGAAAUGCGAUAAGUAAUGUGAAUUGCAGAAUUCAGUGAAUCAUCGAAUCUUUGAACGCACAUUGCGCCCGCCAGCAUUCUGGCGGGCAUGCCUGUUCGAGCGUCAUUUCAACCCUCGAGCCCCCCCGGGGGCCUCGGUGUUGGGGGACGGCACCCCAGCCGCCCCCGAAAUGCAGUGGCGACCCCGCCGCAGCCUCCCCUGCGUAGUAGCACACACCUCGCACCGGAGCGCGGAGGCGGUCACGCCGUAAAACGCCCAACUUUCUUAGAGUUGACCUCGGAUCAGGUAGGAAUACCCGCUGAACUUAAGCAUAUCAAUAAGCGGAGGA
rnacentral:misc_RNA from 1 species